CCAGUGGCGACACCGUGGGUCCCAGUCCAGUGACGCCGGGAAGGGGUGGUCCAGACCGGUCGCGCCGGGGCACGGUGCGGCUCCCGCGGUCGCAGUGGCAGUUGUCCUGUAGUUUGGGAUGCUCAGAGCCGAGCCGGCGAGCAGGGCAUGGAAGCUAAUGACACAAGAGCUGGUGGAGGCCCGUGGUGAAAAUUUGAUGUGGCCCCAGGAGAGAGGCUGCUGGACAUCAACAUUUAUCCUGCAGAAAGAGAUGAUGGAACAGUCCAUCUCUAGGAAAUAAGGAAUUGACAUUGAUAACAAUAUAAGCCAUUUUGACAAUUAUUUUGGUAUUGAGAAAAGCAGUUCAUUCCCUCUGAACGCUAAUAAAAGGAUUCAGCCAAACUCCUAUCCUGCUGGAUGCCUGUCUCCUUUCAUUUCAUGCUGGAUAUGUUGCCACCUUUUGAAAAUGUGAUGAGAAUAAGCUGAUUUGGGCAUUCCCUCUCUACUGCCCUCCUUAUCCAGUGCUAUGGAUGGAUUCCAGGGCUUCUGUGUGCUGGGCAAGCGCCACAGACACUGCACUGUGCUACGUUGCCAGUCCAUUCUUUGCUUUUCGAGGAUGAAGUCUUUCAACUACCAUCUUUCUGGACCCUGCUCCGAUCUCUACACACUAUCUAA